rnacentral:lncRNA from 1 species
CACGUUUUCUCUUUCUUAAAAAAAAACCUUAGCCUUCAGCCUCGCUCAGUGAACCUCCCCGCCCCACCCGCCCGUGUGUCCGGCGUGGGCGGCUUCCCCUCUUCCCCCUCCUCCCCCCCUCCCCUCUCUUUCCUGUCCUCCCUCUUCCCCCCUCCCCCCCCCCCCCUCCUCCCCCCCUCCCCCCCUCUCUCCCCUCCCCUCUUCCCUCCCCUUCCCUCCCUCCCUCCCCCCUCUCUCUUCCUCCCCCCCCCUCUCCCCCCCCCUCCUCUUUCCCCCCUUAUCCCCCCCCCUCCUCCUCCUCCCCCCCCCUUCCCUCCCCUCCUCCCCCCUCCUCCCCUCCCUCCCUCUUCCCCUCCCCCUCCCCCCCCUCCCCUCCCCUCCCCCUCCCCCUCCCUCCCCUCCUUCCCCCUCCCUCCUCUUCCCCCCUGUCUUCCCCUCUCCUCCCCUCUCCCCUCCCUUCUUCUCCCCAUCCUCCCUCCCCCUCCCCCUCCCCCCCCCCCCCCCUCCCCCUUCCCCUUCCUCCCCCCUCCCCCCUCCCCUCCUUCCCCUCCGUCCCCCCUCUCUCCUCCCCCUCCCCCCUCCCUCCCCAUCCUUCCCCCCCCCCCCCCCCCCCCUCCGCUCGUCCCUCAUCUUCGCCCCUCCUCCCCUCCCCCCUCCCUCCAUCCUCCUCUCUUUCUCCCCAUCCCUCCUGUUCCUCCCCUCUUCCCCCCUCCCCCCCUCCACCCCUCUUUCCCCCAUAUCUUCCCCCCUCCCUCCCCUUCUCCCCCUCCCGCUCCCCCCCCUCUCUUCCUCCUCCAUCCUCCCCUCUUCUCCCCAUCCCUUCCUGUCCUCCCCCCUCUUUCCCCCUCCUCCCCCUGCCCCUCACCUUCACCCCCUCCUCCCUCCCCCCCCUCCUCCCGUCUCUUCUUCGUCCUCCCCUCCCUCCUCCCCCCUCCCCGCAGCCCGCGGGGCACUCGGCCCGCCCCCCAGGCCGUCGCGGGCCGGCAACGCGCUAAAAGGCCAGGCUGUGGAGGCCGUGGGCCGCCGGCGACGCCGUAG